AGGGCACCACCAGGAGUGGAGCCUGCGGCUUAAUUUGACUCAACACGGGAAAACUCACCCGGCCCGGACACUGGAAGGAUUGACAGAUUGAGAGCUCUUUCUUGAUUCAGUGGGUGGUGGUGCAUGGCCGUUCUUAGUUGGUGGAGUGAUUUGUCUGGUUAAUUCCGAUAACGAACGAGACUCUAGCCUACUAAAUAGAUCGUCGGCUUACAAACGCCGGCGAGACUUCUUAGAGGGACAGGCGGCGAUUCAGCCGCACGAAACAGAGCAAUAACAGGUCUGUGAUGCCCUUAGAUGUCCGGGGCCGCACGCGCGCUACACUGAAGUGAUCAGCGUGCUUUUUCAACCUACUCUGUCAAGAGCAGGAAACCCAAUGAACCUUCUUCGUGAUUGGAAUAGGGGAUUGUAAUUAUUCCCCUUGAACGAGGAAUUCCCAGUAAGCGCGAGUCAUAAAGCUCGCGUUGAUUACGUCCCUGCCCUUUGUACACACCGCCCGUCGCUACUACCGAUUGAAAUGUU
rnacentral:rRNA from 1 species